rnacentral:miRNA from 1 species
CUCUGCCGACUUGCCCAGCGCC